UAGCUCUAGAAGUAUGGUCUGAGUACCUCCUUUUGUAAUUGAACUUUAACGAGUCUGAUACCUCAAAGCUAUUCUACUAUUGGUAGUAUAAACGCAUCAUUUACUCGAUAUGGAUUCAGUUAAAACUGCGAAUUCGCCAAAUGCAACGUAGGGAAGACCUAUGCUUAUCGUAAAAGUGCAAGGUAGAGUGUUGUGUAAUUAUAAAUCACAAUAUGCAUACUGUCAUACCUACCAUUCGCGUAUCCGGCGUAUCGGUAUGCAGAUAACAUCCGCAGCAUUAGCCCUUCAUUCUGCAAUGUGAUGUGAAAAAGUGUUUCUAAUUUACUUGAUCAGCAAUAAGAGACAAUUUCUAUAACCAAAACGCUUAAUAUGGCUAAUACGGAACUUUUAGCAGUUUUGGAUGUCUACAUUAAUACCAGUGUGGAUUCUUCUCGAAGAAAUUCGACAAAGGUGCAAAAAACUAACGCCGACUACGAAGUCAUCGUCAUUUCAGAUUCAGAAGCGUGCGAGUGUUGUGAAACUAUCGCAAGUGGUCAGAAACGAACACGCUGUGGUAUUCAAAUCGAUGACGUUCGCUGUGCAUGUAAUUAUGAAACAAACCCGUUGCCAAAAUUGAGUAUUGUACCCCAUCCGUCUGUUCAAAACUUACUUCAACAACACACGCAUCUUGUUCUUCCUCGCGAUGUCUACAAAUCCGAUAUUUCUCCAGUUGUUUCAUUAGACCGUGGAGAAGUGUACGAAUGGUUUGCUGUACAAUUAAAAAUCACCAAAGAAAAGCUAUAUACUUUUGAAACUCAACAAAAAAUAAGAUCCCGAUCUUGCGGAUACGACCUACGAUCGAAGGGACGUAAACCACAACACAUCUUUGAUUGGAGUGAUUCUGAUUGAUGAUACACAAACUAGUUCACUCCGUCAUCGUGAAAUUUGAAAAUCCGAUCACCAAGAGAGAGAGAGAGGGGGGGGGGAGAUGAGAAUCUUUGAUUUUGAAAUUAAGAUGGUUUAAUCUCAUUGUUGCAUCACGUCCAAAUCCGCGAUUUUGGAAGUACCGUUUAUUGGCAGAUUUGGUGCACGGGUAACAAAGAAAUGGCUGCUUAUUCAGCUUAUUGUUAUUUGAUGCUAUACCUAACCCGGAAACUUACAUUGCCCAUUGCUAACAUCUUCGGCUAAUCUUCUUGUAGAUGCUGGAGCAGAUGUAACAGCUCUGUAACGGUAUGGCGGAUGGUCAUCUACAACAGUUGCUGAAUCGUACGUACAUAAACGAAUCGUUAAGCAACAGGCAACAGGAUUCAAACUGCACAAAGAAUAUAAAGUAUUGCUUCUCAGGGCCGGUCCGUCGAAAAAAAAUGGGCGAGGCAAGCGCUAAUUUUGCCGCCCUAAUGGAAAGGUUUUUUGUUUGUUAAUUGGUUCUUUAAUAUGAGUAUAAGUACCACCAAACAACGAGAAAAUUAAAUAAAAUCGUAAAAAUCAGAAAAUGACGUUUCAUAAGCAUACAAAAUUCAAACAAAAAUACCAAAACAAUGUAAUAAUACCGAUAUUUAAAUUUGCAAAAUUGUUACAAUAUCAUCGAAGUCUAUGUUAGAACAUAGUUCAUGUUCAAUGGCGAGAAUGGCCAGCUCCUUUAAUCUGUCAUAUGUCAAUGUUGAACAUAAAAUAAUUUUUCAUUAUUUUUUUUGAGAAAGAACGUUCUCCACUGGCCACAGUGACUAGAAUAGUUAAAAGUAUCCUUAGAGAUGCUAUACUGGUUAUCUGAGAGUCAAUGUAUGUGUUAAUUAAUUAAAAUUUGAUUACUUGUAUUGUUCUAUUUUUUAUUUUUUU